ACUGGGUAGGUGGGGCUCCAGG
rnacentral:miRNA from 1 species